UGCGGAUUUGAGUGUGAGCGAGAACACGAACGACAGAGCAGUACUUCUUGAUACGCUCGAGCUCACGGUUGAUGGAUUGAGUGCUCUCAGCAUACUUCUUGGCAUACUUGGUGAAAGCCUUCUUCUUGCUCUUGAACCAGUUCUUGUAGAAGCGACGCUUGACUUCUUCAGACAAGUGCUCGGCCCAAACGGUGGUGAGAGAACGAAGACCACGAGGAGUCUCGACAUAACCAACGACACCGACAACAACCAUAGGGGGAGUUUCGAUAACGGUGACGGCCUCAAGGAUCUCACGCUUGUGCAUCUUGGAACCAGGACGAUCAAGAUCACGAACAAUGUGAGUCAUACCAGCCUUAUAACCGAGGAAAGCGGUCAAGUGGACAGGCUUAGAGGCAUCGUCCUUGGGGAAAGCCUUCACUUUUCCACGUUGACGGGAAGCACGUUUACGAGGCAAAAAGCCAAGAGAACCGUGACGAGGUUGUUCGAACUUACAGUGAGACAUGACAACGGCCACUUAGUUGGUUAUGGAACGACAUUUUGCUGAACAAAUUUUGGACUUCAACACAUUGUGACUGUUCUUUUUAGGGUAGGGUUCUCUGAUUGCACUCAUGUUGUUACUUUUGUGUACA